GGAUGUUGUUGGUCGAGAAAGCGCAGCCGCGCGCCGGCCAGCCCACCCGCGACAUCGCGGUUAUCAGCCUCGGACACGCACGUGCCGUAAUGGGCGUGCUUAAACCGGACAAAUCCGCAGAGUUGCCGCGUUAUGCCGGCACCAUGGCAUAGCGGAUAAUUCCAUAGUUUGUUGAUAGCGCGUGCCGCCGGUUCAGAUUUGAGCGGCGGUGUUCUUCGGUAUCCGAUCCGCGAAUUCCGAGUCGGCGUUAUGUCGCUCCCCGCAGGUCCCGACGGAGGCUG
rnacentral:misc_RNA from 1 species